rnacentral:rRNA from 1 species
UGUAGAGGAUGUUUCGGGCACCGCUCCGGUUUAAAUUUCUUGGAACAGAAUGUCAAAGAGGGUGAGAACCCCGUCUUGGACCGGCAGUAGGGCCCAUGUGAAACUCCUUCGACGAGUCGAGUUGUUUGGGAAUGCAGCUCAAAAUGGGUGGUAAAUUUCAUCUAAAGCUAAAUAUUGGCCAGAGACCGAUAGCGCACAAGUAGAGUGAUCGAAAGAUGAAAAGCACUUUGAAAAGAGAGUUAAACAGUACGUGAAAUUGUUGAAAGGGAAGCGCUUGCAACCAGACUUGCGCGCGGCGGUUCCCCCUUCCUUUUGGUUGGGUUAUUCCGCCGUGUCCAGGCCAACAUCGGUUCUGGGGGUCGGUUAAAGGCCCGGGGAAUGUAUCUACCCUUCGGGCGUAGACUUAUAGCCCUGGGUGUCAUGCGACCUCCCGGGACCGAGGAACGCGCUUCGGCUCGGAUGUUGGCGUAAUGGUUGUCAGCGACCCGUCU